rnacentral:rRNA from 1 species
AACGUAGGUGGCGAGCGUUAUCCGGAAUUACUGGGCGUAAAGCGUGUGCAGGCGGGCUGUCAAGUGGUGUGUGAAAUCUCCCGGCUUAACCGGGAUAGGUUAUGCCAGACUGGCAGUCUAGAGGCUGAGAGAGGAGCGUGGAAUUCCGGGUGUAGUGGUGAAAUGCGUAGAGAUCGGGAGGAACACCCGUGGCGAAAGCGGCUCUCUGGUUCAAUACUGACACUGAGAUGCGAAAGCGUGGGGAGCGAACGGG